GCAGGAGGAUUCUUGGUAAUUCUCUAAUUGUGCUUCUAAUUGCUUUCUAAUUAUCUUUGUUCUUCAAUAUUAUGAAUAUGACUUUGUUCUACUUCAAUAUAUUGCUUAUGACUUUGCUCUACUUGCUUAUAUUCAAGAUUAUAUUGUUCUUAGUUUAUCAUAGUUAUGUACUUGGCUUAGUUAGAUUUGAUCUAUAUACAUGCUUA
rnacentral:lncRNA from 1 species